CAGGAAGGUUAUGGGGCUAUAUGUCUGGGUACAUGCAUGCAUUAGCAUACAUUCUGUAGUUGUGCAGGUAUUACAGAUUAAAUUGUUUCCCCCCAAAUUCAUAUGUUGGAAUUCUAACCCCCAGUACCUCAGACUGUGUCAUUAUCUGGAAGCAGGGUCAUUGCAGGUGUGUUAGUUAAGAUGAAGCCUUACUGGAGUAGGGUGGGCUCUUAACCAAUAUGACUGGCACCCUGAUAAAUGGGGAAUCUGGACACGAGUACAUGGAUACAGGGAGAAUGCUGUGUGAACAUGAAGGCAGACACAACAGUGACACUCCCACCAAGGUGCUCUGCUAAGACAGCCCUGGCAAACUUGUCCAGGGUGCUCUGUAUAUUAUAUACCCAUCUUUAUAUACAUGUUAUAGACAUGUGUGUGUGCAGCAUACAUGUACACACACAUUGAAUGUGUCUUCCAAAUAUAUAAAGAAGAUCAGUCACGCCCCUACCCAUACUCCAAAGUCCUUGUAGCCUUCCCUCUUCACAGGCCCAAGAGCAGUCUGGGAUUAUAGGCAACCUGUAGUAGUCCAUUUUCACGCUGCUGAUAAAGACAUAUCCAAGACUGGACAAUUUACAAAAACAAAAACAAAACAAAAAAACAAAAAAACGAAAAACAAAACAAGUUUAUUGGACUUACAGUUUGAAAUGGCUGGGAAGACCUCACAGUCAUGGUGGAAGGCAAGGAGGAGCAAAUCACAUCUUACAUGGAUGGUGGCAGGCAAAGAGGGAGCUUGUGCAGGGAAACUCCCAUUUUUAAAACCAUCAGAUCUCAUGAGACUUAUUCACUAUCAUGAGAACAGCAUGGGAAAGACCUGCCCCCAUGAUUCAAUCAUCUCACACAUGUGAGUCCCUCCUACAACAUGUGGAAAUUAUGGUAGCUACAAGAUAAGAUUUGGGUGGGGAAACAGAGCCAAACCAUAUCACAACCCCAGCUGACACACUUGCCCCUCUUUUUCUGUUCCCAUCUGAUGCUGAAGGUGCCCUGCUGCUACUUCUCAAUGGUCUGCUUCCCAUCCUUUGGUCAUAUCUGAAGAGCCCUGGUGGGACAUAAGCGGACUUCUGGUUUCAGUGAAGGCUUCAGCUGUAUGUGAACAUUUAUGACAAAAUGCACUCGAGCAUCUAGAGUCAUCUUAAGAUGGAAAUUACUUUUCUUCAUAGUUGGAUAGCUUCAAGUUGGCUAUGAUGAUUUUUAUAUCCUGUGUCCAAACAAAGAAGAAAAUAACCCAUCCUUCCAAAACCCAAGACCAUGUCCAUGUGCAUUGGAGGCACAAGACUGAAUGAGAGAAACUGUGUUAAAGUCAGAUUCCAUUGGCAUGUCUGUCCGCUUUUGCAAAGAACAUGUUGGUGGAAACAUGUUCCACAUGUCAGUGGUUACCCUGAUUCUUUGAAUUUAAUGGUGGGGCUGGCAAAGAAAGCUGGAGCAUUUGGGAAGCCUGAAGCCUGCCCUUCCUGGCAGCAUCAGAAAGCAAGGGGAGAUGUUGGUGUACAGGCAAAAGUCAGCUCUCAACACAGGUGAUGGAGGACUGUGUAUGUAGCCAGGGAUAAAGAAUCCAGGAGGGGCCUGAAGAUGGGUGGAACCAAUGAAAUGAAUCAUCCCAGGUGUAUCAUCUCUUGUUUGGAAAUAUCCUAGCCCAUUCCUACCUUCCUUUUGUUUAAACCACCUCCUUUUCUGAAUGGCUGUGCCUUUUCAUUCUUGUCUUCUGAUCAUGCACGGACUCCGGCUCCCAGCUUGACCUGAGCGUUUGCAGGAAGCACACUAAGGUUUGGGGCUCUCUAGAGACACGGUUUUGACUCCAGGGCUGGAGGAAACAUCACUACCAGAAGUGGAUGUAUACUUCGAGGAGGAAGGUCUUGGAUUUCCAGGGAGUAGGCGGUCAUCUGUGCCGCAGGUUGGUGUUGGCCAUGAUCACACCAAGUCUCACUGAGUCACAAUGAGAGGAAGCUACACAGAGACAUAACAAGUGAGAAUGGCAGGAGCGUGCCUGGUUAAUGACAGGGAGUGGCAUUUGUUCAACGGCACACAUUCAUUUAUCCCAUUUUAAAAUGGUGCCACCGAGCUGCAAGGCAAGGAAGCUACUGAACUUACCAUCCACAAACACCUGGUGUACUGAUAAUUGUUGCUGCUUGCUUAACUUUGUUUUUCCUAGUCAGUAGAUCCAGAAUAGAAGUCAGUUCCCCUUCCCUUUUAUUCAAAAGAAUUCAUUUAAUCAGGACUUCUAAAGUGAAGUUUUCCAAAAAACUUUAAAAAAUAUUCAUUUUAAAUUUUUGUGGGUACAUAGUAGGUAUAUAUAUAUAUUUAUGGGGUACAUGAGAUGUUUUGAUAUACGCAUACAAUGCAUAAUGACCUUAUCAGGUAAACAGUGAGUCCAUCAGCUCAAGCAUUUAUCCUUUGUGUUACAAACAAUCCAAUUACACUCUAUCAGUAAUUUUAAAACAUACAAUUAUUUUUGACUACAGUCAUCCUGUUGUGCCCCCAUAUGCUAGGUCUUAUUCAUUCUUUCUUACUAUCUUUUUGUACCCAUUAACCGUCCCCCUACCACUUCUCCCACCAUCCUUCCCAGCCUCUGGUAACCAUCCUUCUACUCUCUAUCUCCAUGAGUUCAGUGGUUUUAGUUUUUAUCACCCACAAAUAAGUGAGAACAUGCAAAGUUUGUCUUUCUGCCAAGACAUGUUUUUAAAUUGAGGUAAAAUUCAUGUAACAUAAAAUUUACCAUGUUAGCAACCUUACAGUAUACAAUCUACUGGAUUUUAAUACUUUCCCUAUGCGCUGUGCACUAUCACCUCUACCUAGAUCCCGAACAUUUCACCCCCCACGAAAAUGAAACAAUGCGCCCAUCAGUAGACACUCUUCCUUCUCCCACCCAGUCCCUGGCAAGCGCUAAUCUAUUCCUGUCUCAAUUGACUUGUGAAUUCUGGACAUUUCACGGAAGUGCAAUCAUACAGUACGUGGCCCUGAUGUGGGGUUUCUUUCACUCAGCGCAGCAACUUCAAGCUUCUUUCAUGCUGCAGCAUGUAUUAAUACUUCAUUCCUUUUAAUGGCAAAAUAAGUCCCGUUAGCUGGAUCUACUGCAUUUUGUUUAUCCAUCAUUGCUUGAUGUACUUUGGGACUGUUUCCACCAUUUGGUUAUAGCGAUACAUUAAAUACCUUUCUUUUGUUAUUUUUGCCACACAUCUUCGAAAAUAGACAACUCAUUCUUCUGAACACAUCCCGGAAUACAUGUUCUCGGUAGAUUCUUGUCCAGGAUUAAAUAAUGGCCUUUAUUUUCUUAAUAUCCUUUUUGACAAUUGGGAUAAGGCAGCCAGAAGGUAACUGACUUCUAUCAAGUUAUGGAGCACAUCGUACAGAGGCGAAUGUAGGCCUUUCCAAUUCUUGUCCCCAGAUGGACUUGUGUGACUCUGCUGAGGUUAAUUCUUUGCAGCACGCCUAUCCCUCACGCAUGCACGAAGUUCUGGAAGUCUCCCCUGCUACAUGUUGCUGUGUAAUUGUGGCCUGACUUAUCCACCAUGAGCAUGAAGACUGUGACUCAGCAGAGAUCAAGGCCACAGCAGGCAUCCUUACACACCCAUGUUUAGAUGUGCAGAAGCUGGGAGCCUGUGUUUGUGAGAAGGAAGACAGGCUUAGGAUUGAGGUGAGAAAUACCUCUCAUUGCAGAGGUGGUGUCCAAUAGUCUGAUUCAUGCCUGUCCCUCAGUUAAUCACGGUUUCUUAACUGCUGCUCUAUUGACAUUUUGGACCAGAUAAUUGUCCUGGGUGUUCCCCUGUGCUUUAUAGGAUGUUUGCAGCAUGCUGGCCUGCACUCACUGGAUGCCGAUAGCACCACUCUGCCUUUCUCUCCCCAUCAUGAUAAUCUAAAGUCUUUCUCCGGGCAUUGCCAAAUGUCCCUUGGCGAGGGGCAAAAAUCAUUCUUGCUUGAGAACCACUGGAUCAGAUAAAAUUAAACAGACUUUCUAUUCCUCAGACUCUAAGCCUGGUGCUUGAUGGGAAUGUGGGGACAGAUAACGCCCAAGGAAAUUACAGGAGUAAGAGGGUUAUCUGGAGCAGGAAAACGUGCCAGGUAAGAUGCGUGUUUGCUUGGGUUUGGGAUUUUCUUAUCUGGGGACCGAGUGGCUGAUUACAGGCUCAGGGCUCAUUACUCCCAAAUUACCCGUCUGUCACUGCUCAUUAGAGGAGUUUUCAUUUGAAAUCUGUUUCUGGUUGUUGCCCUCUUUGAAGAGAAGAGUGAAUGAGGUCACAGGGAUUAAUGGCUGCUAAAAGCCAUUCGGUUUCAACAUUUCUCCAAGGAAAACGAAUCAUCAUGUUUUCUGAACGCAAAACUCCGAAAUAAAGAUAUGGGGAGUAGCAGGCCCUCUCCAAUCAGACAGGCUCAGGAAAGUUUCCCCUACCAAAAUAGAGCUGCUUAUAACAAACUGGAGUGGAGAGAGGGUGCAAGAGGGAGCUCCCAGGCACCUGCCUGGAACCUGCCUCAUCACAAGAAAAGCCUGCCGUCCCACACGCCACAUGUGGCCCAUGCCUUUUAGCAGAACCUUUCUCAAGAGCCUCCUGAAGACUUCAGGACUCUGGACAGGCCACCUGCUGAAGGACACUGACCCCAGCAGCGGUGUCUCCACCAAGAAAGGAACAGUGAGCAAUGAACAGCACCGAUUCCUACACUGAGCCUCUGUGACCUGUGGACUUUGUUUCAAAACAGCUUGUGUGGGCUUCCUUUUGUCCAUAAAAGCUUCCCCUUUGUCCCGGCCCCCUUGCUAGGACUGUGAUCAUCGUAGAAUGCACAUCCCAAGUUGUGGCUCCCUCCACUAUUUCCAAAUAAACUUUC
rnacentral:lncRNA from 10 species